GCAUAUCAAUAAGCGGAGGAAAAAGAAAACUAACAAGGAUUCCCCUAGUAACUGCGAGUGAAGCGGGAAAAGCUCAAAUUUAAAAUCUGGUGGUCUCCGGCCAUCCGAGUUGUAAUCUAGAGAAGUGUUACCCGCGUCGGACCGUGUACAAGUCUCCUGGAAUGGAGCGUCAUAGAGGGUGAGAAUCCCGUCUUUGACACGGACUACCGAGGCUUUGUGGUGCGCUCUCAAAGAGUCGAGUUGUUUGGGAAUGCAGCUCAAAAUGGGUGGUAAAUUCCAUCUAAAGCUAAAUAUUGGCGAGAGACCGAUAGCGAACAAGUACCGUGAGGGAAAGAUGAAAAGAACUUUGGAAAGAGAGUUAAACAGUACGUGAAAUUGCUGAAAGGGAAACGCUUGAAGUCAGUCGCGUUGGCCGGAAAUCAGCCUUGCUUUUGCGGGGUGUACUUUCUGGUUGACGGGCCAGCAUCAGUUUUGACCGGUGGAAAAAGUCCAAGGGAAUGUGGCAUCUUCGGAUGUGUUAUAGCCCUUGUUCGUAUACAUCGAUUGGGACUGAGGAACUCAGCACGCCGAAAGGCCGGGUCUUUGACCACGUUCGUGCUUAGGAUGCUGGCAUAAUGGCUUUAAUCGACCCGUCUUGAAACACGGACCAAGGAGUCUAACAUGCCUGCGAGUGUUUGGGUGGAAAACCCGGACGCGCAAUGAAAGUGAAAGUUGAGAUCCUUGUCAUGGGGAGCAUCGACGCCCGGACCAGAAGUUUUCUGACGGCCCUGCGGUAGAGCAUGUAUGUUGGGACCCGAAAGAUGGUGAACUAUGCCUGAAUAGGGUGAAGCCAGAGGAAAACUCUGGUGGAGGCUCGUAGCGAUUCUGACGUGCAAAUCGAUCGUCAAAUUUGGGUAUAGGGGCGAAAGACUAAUCGAAACCAUCUAGUAGCUGCUCUGCGGAG
rnacentral:rRNA from 1 species